AACGCGAAGAACCUUACCUGGGUUUGAACUUCAGGUGAAAGCCCCAGAGAUGGGGUCCUCCCUUCGGGGACACCUGGAGAGGUGCUGCAUGGCUGUCGUCAGCUCGUGUCGUGAGAUGUUGGGUUAAGUCCCGCAACGAGCGCAACCCUUGUCCAUAGUUACUAACGGGUCAUGCCGAGAACUCUAUGGAGACUGCCGGUGAUAAACCGGAGGAAGGUGGGGAUGACGUCAAGUCCUCAUGGCCUUUAUGUCCAGGGCUACACACGUGCUACAAUGGACGGCACAAAGAGUCGCAAUACCGCGAGGUUGAGCUAAUCUCAAAAAACCGUUCUCAGUUCGGAUUGCAGUCUGCAACUCGACUGCAUGAAGCUGGAAUCGCUAGUAAUCGCGGAUCAGCACGCCGCGGUGAAUACGUUCCCGGGCCUUGUACACACCGACGCGUA
rnacentral:rRNA from 1 species